GGGCCAUCUGGCUGGGACACCUGUCACCUUAUUGAUCCCCAGAUUUGAUGGGGCUGAACUCCAGCUGGCUGCGCUGCUGUCCUCUUCCCCCUUCACUGCUCCACGUGUGUCCCCGCCAAGCUUCCUACUCUGACAAACAGGAUGACCUUUCCCCAUAGAGGAGGUGGUUCUUUGGUCAAGGGCACAGGAAAACAGGCACAUAGGAAAACUGUUUUUAAAUCCUCAUAGGUCUAAAAAUAUCUUCCUUCUUU
rnacentral:snRNA from 1 species